UCCCUGUAAAGGGAACAUGUCACUUUGUAUCAGAGUGCCAAGGUGCACAGGGCAGAGCAGGUCCGGUGUGUAUCGUGUCACUUGUCUAUCGUGCGUUCUGUGUGUUUGGGUGUCUCAUGUCUUUUACCUUAGGCCUUUGAGGGGCCUAUCGGAAACCAGUCGUGCCAUCUGUGAUCUGCGUUCUUUAUCCUGGCACCAAUGCCAUAGAACUUUUGACUCGGGAGCUCAGACUGGCAUCAGAAUCGCAUCUGUCUUUAGAAGCAUCCAGUCAGAUGUCUUCUCAGGUCUUGUUCCGAGCUGUACGGAGAGCUGCACCCCACAAGGAUCCAUUACGGCAGAUUAGGACUUGUAAGAAUGCGAGCUUAGGCAGAGGAUUCUGACCUUAGGAUUCUCAGGCAUCCAUGUCUGCAGUUCUUGGAAUGCAUCACUCAGUUAGCAUCUUGUUCCUCCAGGGUUCUCUGAGCCUCAUCAGCUCUCCAUCAGUCCCACCUAGGUCAUUUCAUUUUGCAUUCCCUUGGUCCUUGCAGUCAUCUUCCUUGCCAGGAGAUUUGUGUCCGUGUCGCGUCCCCCUUGUUUGUCACGUCCUGUCUCGUGUCACGGGUGUCUGCACGCAUUUGUGCCGGAGCCGCUCUGCCCUGCCGCAUAGCCCGGUGCAGUAGGAGAAGUCCCGGGCCUUGAAGUUUAUAAUGUGGGUUGUUGUUGGGCUCUAGAUGGGAUUUGUAGAUGGACACAAGAUGUUUGCAGCUGUGAAGUUAUCCUGCAGCCCUUUGACUUUUUUCCUAACUUUGUUUCAGAUGCAGAAAGAUGAAAUCCAGGGCAGUGGGCCCCCUCUGGGGUGAGGGGGUCCGCCCAAGCAGGUCAGUCACUGUUUGUCUCUGCAGGGGAAUCAUAAAUGGUGGCUGUUACAGCACUGUUCUUUGUCUUUCUUUUUAGGAAGUCAAGGCAGAGAGCCGCACUGAAGACCAAGCACGUAAGGUGGUCCACUUGCCGUCUAUCCUGGCCGAGCAUGCCCGAUGUCAGGUGCUGUUGCCACUCCAGGCAUGCCUAAGAACAGAGGAGAGCAGGUAUCCUCUGGGCAGCCUCCGGAGUAGAAUCAGGAUUUGAGGUACCCUGAGGAGGUUUUCAGCCAAGGUUUGGAAACAGCAGCACCGAAGCACACACGGAGAACGUCUCGACGUCCACGUACAACCGACGAUGGAUUUUGUCCGCUCAUCUUACAAAAGCUAAGUGUCGGGGCCGAUAGUUGGGAGAAGGGGAAAAACCUUUCCUAUCACAGGGGGCAAUUUGAUGUCAGCUUAGCGGAGAGGUCUGUAGUGGGACAGGCUCUCUGGAAGUAAAGGGAGAGGGUUUCUCCUCGGCCUCACCAGAGCCUUUGCUGGGCAGGGCAGUUCCGACCCAUCUCCACAUUCUUGUGAACUUUGCAUCGUCAGCCUUCUUCGACUCGACAUCGUCACGGAUUUUUCACCCGAGGAGCUCACCUUCAGGUCCGGAGCUACGGCCACGGUCACCCGGCAGUCCUCUUCCUUCUCUAGGCCUACCGAGCCUCUCGAGCAUCCUCUUAACUCCUUGGGCACUAACUUCUUUUAACGAGUUAUAUUUCAUCCUCACGUGCUGUCGUCAUAGGGCUUUCUUUCCUUCGGCAUCAUCGGCCCCUGGCUCAUCUUGCGCUAGGAAUCUCGGGUCCAUAAGCCGAAAGUGCCAGGAGGUUUCCACUUGUCUCUGUGUUAUGUCGUCUGUGUCUGUGUUAUGUAGUCUGUGUCCACUGUCUUCCACGCCCUAGGCCUUUGUUCCACCUUGGCACUUUAUCGGCACAAUUUCGUGCCAUAUCGGCCGUAUUUUCCUCACGUUCCUUCGCUUAUUCUGGCACCUUUACAUCUUGACUCUUUGAGACAGGAAGGAUUACACAAGAUGUCCUCAUCCAUCUUCCUUCUCACUACCAGCUUUGGUAGUGCCUUUUUGUCCAUGCCAUUCUCUUGGAAUUCUAGAGGGAGUGUCUUACACCCUCCUCACGUGACUGCAGUAGUACUGUAGGUUCCAUCCUCUCAAAGGGUAUAGGGCUCCAGAAUUAAUCCUCCAGAGAGUUAUCUCAAGUCCUGGUUUAUACUGUAUCUACCACUAUUGGUUUAUAUUGGAUGUACUUAUAUUGUCUGUAAUUAUGUUGGCUUAUAUUGUGUGUACUUGUAUUGUGUGUACCCGCGCCGCCUUAUAUUGUGUGUACUUGUAUUGUGUAUACCUGCGUCGGCUUAUAUCGUGUGUACCUACAUUGUGUGUACCUGUGCCGCCUUACCUACAUUGUGUGUACCUGUGCCGCCUUACCUAU